rfam:Schistosoma margrebowiei strain Zambia genome assembly, scaffold: SMRZ_contig0000985
AUCCAGCUGAUGAGUCCCAAAUAGGAUGAGACGCGUGCCCUGGAU